CCAUUGCAGCCACUGGGAACGGACCUGGAGGGCUGUAGCUUUAGUAGGGGCCCCUGGACUGCAUGCUGCGUGCAGUUGGCAUUCUUCACCUGUGCUUCUGAGGUAGCUCUUCCAGUUCUGUUUUGUCCAAAAGGAAUCCAGGCUGCGCAACUGGGGCCUGCUCUGUGAUGCAAAGUGCAGCACGAGCCUGUCAUACAGAAGUACCAUUUUACAGAGCACAGACACAGAGAGAAUUAAUGAUGUGCAUAAGUCUGCGUAAGGAAAUAUGUUACAGAACUGAUCUUGGGUUUUCUCAGCUUCCGAUGUUUAGCCACUGGACUGGCUCUCCUCGUGCUCCGCAGCACAGUUACAUUCCUUUGUGGCUGUGGCUCUUGGUCAUCCCAUCCAGCACUGCCAAGGAGGCUGCCACAGAUACAGCGAUCAGACACAUUCAAAAGAAGACGACCAUCCUGAUAGGAUAUAUCUCAUCCUACUUGAGCUGUCAGAAGGCUAGCGAUCCAGUCCAAGCGAAGUGUAUGGGCUCUCUUUCCCUCAUCAGUAAACAAGGAUUCAUCAGUUUAUGA
rnacentral:lncRNA from 1 species